rnacentral:rRNA from 1 species
GGAGUCUGGACCGUGUCUCAGUUCCAGUGUGGGGGACCUUCCUCUCAGAACCCCUACCGAUCGUAGCCACGGUGGGCCGUCACCCCGCCGUCAAGCUAAUCGGACGCAUCCCCAUCCCAUGGCGUCAAACUUUAGUGCUCCUCAGAUGUCCUCAAUGCACAACAUAGGGUGUUAAUCCGCAUUUCUACGGGCUAUGCCCUACCAGGGGGAAGGUUGGAUACGCGUUACUCACCCGUGCGCCGGUCGCCAUCGGCCUUAGCAAGCUAAGACCAUGCUGCCCCACGACUUGCAUGUGUUAAGCCUGUAGCUAGCGUUCAUC